rnacentral:rRNA from 1 species
AUGCUGGAGGUGGCACUGUGGAUUCGACUGCCAGGCCGUUUUCAGUUUUCUCACCCUCCACGGGAGCUACUUCAUAUUCAGCUGCCUUUUCAUCUUCCAUGUGCUCUUCUAAUACAGGGGCAGACAUCUCAAACUCCACGGGGACUUCUUCAGAUUCAGCUGGCUUCUCGUUUUCCUUGUUCUCGGAUACAAGGUCAGACAUCUCAAACUCCACCGGGACUUCUUCAAAUUCAGCUGGCUUCUCGUUUUCCUUGUUCUCCGUUACAGGGUCAGGCAUCUCAGCCUCCACGGGAGCUACCUCAGAUUCAGCUGCCUCGCCUUCCACUUCUUCAGUCUUCUCUGGGGCAUCAACGACAGGGGCAUCUUUCUUCUCUUCUUGAGCAACAGUGUCAGCCUCUUUCUUCUCUUCUUGAGCAACAGUGUCGGCCUCUUUCUUCUCUUCCGGAGCAACAGUGUCGGCCUCUUUCUUCUCUUCCGGAGCAACAGUGCCGGCCUCUUUCUUCUCUUCCGGAGCAACAGUGUCGGCCUCUUUCUUCUCCUCCUCCGGAGCAACAGUGUCAGCCUCUUUCUUCUCUUCCGGAGCAACAGUGUCAGCUUCUUUCUUCUCUCCAACCAAACUGCCAGCCUCUUCCUCUUUCUUCUCUUCCUGAGCAUUGUCAGCUUCUUUCAUCUCCACUUCAGUGCCUUUGGCUUCUUCAGCAUCAGCAUGAUCUCCACUUUCAGCUUCUGCGUCCUCUGCAUCCUCCUGUUUCCCCUUUUUGCCUUUCUUAG